UUCCGGUUGAUCCUGCCGGAGGUCACUGCUAUUGGAGUUCGAUUAAGCCAUGCGAGUCAAGAGUUCUUCGUGAACUCGGCGAACUGCUCAGUAACACGUGGGUAAUCUACCCUCGGGUCAGGGAUAAUCCCGGGAAACUGGGAAUAAUACCUGAUAGGUGAAGAUGUCUGGAACGAUACUUCGCCUAAAGCUCCGGCGCCCGAGGAUGAGCCUGCGGCCGAUUAGGUAGUUGGCGGUGUAACGGACCACCAAGCCCGUGAUCGGUACGGGUGUUGAGAGACAUAGCCCGGAGAUGGGGGCUGAGACACGGCCCCAGGCCCUACGGGGCGCASAGGCGCGAAAACUACGCAAUGCGCGAAAGCGUGACGUGGGGAACUCCAAGUGCCUUGCCUUAGGGUAAGGCUUUUGUUAAGUGUAAGUAGCUAAACGAAUAAGGGCUGGGUAAGACCGGUGCCAGACCGCCGCGGUAACACCGGGCAGCCCGAGUGGUGACCGCUUUUAUUGGGCCUAAAGCGUCCGUAGCCGGUCUGGUAAGUCUUUGGGUAAAUCCUUCGGCUUAACCGAAGGRAUUCCGGAGAUACUGCCAGACUUGGAGUUGAGAGAAGUCAGAGGUACCUCCGGGGUAAGGGGUGAAAUCCUAUAAUCCUGGGGGGACCACCAGUGGCGAAGGCGUCUGACUAGAGCAAGCUCGACGGUGAGGGACGAAAGCCAGGGGCGCGAACGGGAUUAGAUACCCCGGUAGUCCUGGCCGUUAAAACUGCGCGCUAGGUGUUGCAUGCUCUACGAGGGCGUGCAGUGCCGAAGAGAAGUUGAUUAASGUGCCGCCUGGGAAGUAUUACCGCAAGGUAGAAACUUAAAGGAAUUGGCGG
rnacentral:rRNA from 1 species